rnacentral:rRNA from 1 species
UGAACGCUAGCGGGAUGCUUUCCACAUGCACGUCGACCGGCAGCGCGGACUUCGGUCUGGCGGCGAGUGGCGAACGGGUGGGUAAUGUAUCGGAACGUGCCCAGUAGCGGGGGAUAACUACGCGAAAGCGUAGCUAAUACCGCAUACGCCCUACGGGGGAAAGCAGGGGAUCGUAAGACCUUGCACUAUUGGAGCGGCCGAUAUCGGAUUAGCUAGUUGGUGAGGUAACGGCUCACCAAGGCGACGAUCCGUAGCUGGUUUGAGAGGACGACCAGCCACACUGGGACUGAGACACGGCCCAGACUCCUACGGGAGGCAGCAGUGGGGAAUUUUGGACAAUGGGGGCAACCCUGAUCCAGCCAUCCCGCGUGUGCGAUGAAGGCCUUCGGGUUGUAAAGCACUUUUGGCAGGAAAGAAACGUCGCGGGCUAAUACCCCGUGGAACUGACGGUACCUGCAGAAUAAGCACCGGCUAACUACGUG